rnacentral:tRNA from 1 species
AGUUCUGUACUUUAACGAAAAGAUUUGAUUUGCAAUUAACCAUUGGGUAACAACCCUAGAACUA